CUUCCCAUCCCGAACAGAGAAGUUAAGCCCUGCAGCGCCGAUGGUACUGGGGUUACACCCGGGAGAGUAGGUCGCCGCCACAU
rnacentral:rRNA from 1 species